ACCUUCCAGGUUCCUUACCCAUCAGAUUAAAUACUGGUCUAAGUGGUUAUGAAAGGAGGAAAAGUAAUAUUGAAACUGACUUAAGUUCUUUUGUGACACACCAAACUAAUUUCAAACAAAC
rnacentral:snoRNA from 1 species